rnacentral:tRNA from 1 species
GGGGCUGUGGUGCAACUUGGCUAACAUACGAGGUUUGGGACCUUGUGAUCUCGGUUCAAAUCCGGGCAGCCCCA